rnacentral:rRNA from 1 species
GGCGGACGGGUGAGUAAUGCGUAGGAAUUUACCUCAAAGCGGGGGAUAGCCCGGAGAAAUCCGGAUUAAUACCGCAUGUGCUCUACGGAGUAAGGCGGGCCUCUUCUUGAAAGCUCGCACUUUGAGAUAAGCCUACGUCGGAUUAGCUUGUUGGUAGGGUAAAAGCCUACCAAGGCGACGAUCCGUAGCUGGUUUGAGAGGAUGAUCAGCCACACUGGGACUGAGACACGGCCCAG